GACGAACCUUGCUACCGUUAUUCGGAAUGACUGGGCGUAAAGGGCGCGUAGGCGGUUUGUACAGUCAGGUGUGAAAUUCCCGGGCUCAACCUGGGGGCUGCACUUGAUACGUAGGAACUGGAGUGGGGAAGAGGGUCGUGGAAUUCCCAGUGUAGAGGUGAAAUUCGUAGAUAUUGGGAAGAACACCGGUGGCGAAGGCGGCGACCUGGUCCUUGACUGACGCUGAGGCGCGAAAGCGUGGGGAGCAAACAGG
rnacentral:rRNA from 1 species